rnacentral:rRNA from 1 species
UCCGGAUUUAUUGGGUUUAAAGGGUGCGUAGGCGGCUUAAUAAGUCGGUGGUUAAAAGUAGCAGCUUAACUGUUUUACAUGCCAUCGAUACUGUUGAGCUUGAGAUAUUUGGAGGCAGCUAGAAUUUCCGGUGUAGCGGUGAAAUGCAUAGAUACCGGAAGGAAUACCAAUUGCGAAGGCAGGUUGCUACGAAUAAACUGACGCUGAUGCACGAAAGCGUGGGGAUCAAACAGGAUUAGAUACCCUGGUAGUCCACGCCGUAAACGAUGAUUACUAGUUGUUGGGUGAAUAGCUCAGUGACCAAGGGAAACCGAUAAGUAAUCCACCUGGGGAGUACGCCGGCAACGGUGAAACUCAAAGGACUUGACGGGGGUCCGCACAAGCGGUGGAGCAUGUGGUUUAA